UACGUAGGGUGCAAGCGUUGUCCGGAAUUAUUGGGCGUAAAGAGCUCGUAGGCGGCUUGUCGCGUCGUCCGUGAAAACCUGCGGCUCAACUGCAGGCUUGCGGGCGAUACGGGCAGGCUAGAGUUCGGUAGGGGAGACUGGAAUUCCUGGUGUAGCGGUGAAAUGCGCAGAUAUCAGGAGGAACACCGGUGGCGAAGGCGGGUCUCUGGGACGGUACUGACGCUGAGACGCGAAAGCGUGGGGAGCGAACAGG
rnacentral:rRNA from 1 species